AGGCCUGUAUGACCUUUUAUUCUACUCAUUUUUAACUCAUCAGCCCUCCCCCCACCACCAGGACCCCACCAUCUAUAAGCUUCACAGAUUUCUGGAACUGUGAGGAGCAUCUUCAUUUCUGUGCUCUGAUGAAGGUUUGGGCCCUCACGGGUGACAGAAAAGUGCCACAGUACUGGUUCCCGUUUGAACACACAGGCUUGCUGGGGGUCGCCUUGCAGCGCGAGGAGAGAGAAGGCUGGAACCACCACACUUCCCACAGCAAGGGCAAUCUUUAAAGGCAGUAAGGUGUGACGCUCCAGACUGGCAGUUUGGCAAGACAGAGCCCAUGGAUACCAGCACACGGGAAUCUGGAUGGUUCGCUCUGACAGCAGUCAGCACUGGGAACAAAAGGAAUGAAGGGGGAAAAAAAAGCGCAAAUGUAUUUUUACAUAUUGUAGGCAUAUGGCCACAAGACCAGUAGAAAUAUAUUUAAUUACCAAUUGCACGCAUUGAGGAGAAAAACAUUGGGAA